CCUACGGGAGGCAGCAGUGAGGAAUAUUGGUCAAUGGACGAGAGUCUGAACCAGCCAAGUAGCGUGAAGGAUGACUGCCCUACGGGUUGUAAACUUCUUUUAUAUGGGAAUAAAAUGUUCCACGUGUGGCAUUUUGUAUGUACUAUAUGAAUAAGGAUCGGCUAACUCCGUGCCAGCAGCCGCGGUAAUACGGAGGAUCCGAGCGUUAUCCGGAUUUAUUGGGUUUAAAGGGAGCGUAGGUGGCUUGUUAAGUCAGUUGUGAAAGUUGGUGGCUCAACCGUAAAAUUGCAGUUGAAACUGGAAGUCUUGAGUACGGUAGAGGUGAGCGGAAGUAGAGGUGUAGCGGUGAAAUGCGUAGAUAUCACGAAGAACUCCGAUUGCGAAGGCAGCUCACUGGACUGCAACUGACACUGAGGCUCGAAAGUGUGGGUAUCAAACAGGAUUAGAUACCCUUGUAGUC
rnacentral:rRNA from 1 species